CCUACGGGAGGCAGCAGUGGGGAAUUUUCCGCAAUGGGCGCAAGCCUGACGGAGCAACGCCGCGUGAGGGAUGAAGGCCUCUGGGCUGUAAACCUCUUUUCUCAAGGAAGAAGACCUGACGGUACUUGAGGAAUAAGCCACGGCUAAUUCCGUGCCAGCAGCCGCGGUAAUACGGGAGUGGCAAGCGUUAUCCGGAAUUAUUGGGCGUAAAGCGUCCGCAGGCGGCCUAUUAAGUCUGUCGUUAAAGCGUGGAGCUCAACUCCAUUUAAGCGAUGGAAACUGGAAGGCUAGAGUGUGGUAGGGGCAGAGGGAAUUCCCGGUGUAGCGGUGAAAUGCGUAGAUAUCGGGAAGAACACCAGUGGCGAAGGCGCUCUGCUGGGCCAUAACUGACGCUCAUGGACGAAAGCCAGGGGAGCGAAAGGGAUUAGAUACCCCUGUAGUCCUGGCCGUAAACGAUGAACACUAGGUGUCGGGGGAAUCGACCCCCUCGGUGUCGUAGCUAACGCGUUAAGUGUUCCGCCUGGGGAGUACGCACGCAAGUGUGAAACUCAAAGGAAUUGACGG
rnacentral:rRNA from 1 species